GUGCUCGCUUCUGCAGCACAUAUACUAAAAUUGGAAUGCUACAGAGAAGAUUAGCAUGGGCCCUGUACAAGGAUGAUACACAAAUCCGUGACGCAUUCCAUAAUUUU
rnacentral:snRNA from 1 species